rnacentral:tRNA from 1 species
GGAGGAGUGCCGGAGUGGUUGAACGGGACCGCCUUGAAAGCGGUUAGGCGCCCGAAAGGUGCCUCGGAGGUUCGAAUCCUUCCUCCUCCG